rnacentral:rRNA from 1 species
CCUACGGGAGGCUGCAGUGGGGAAUCUUGGUCAAUGGGCGAAAGCCUGAACCUGCGACGCCGCGUGAGUGAUGAAGGUCGUAAGAUCGUAAAACUCUUUUCAGGGACAUUAAAGCUCCGGCUCUAACAUAGCCUGGAGUCUGACUAUCCCUGGAAUAAGCCCCAGCCAACUACGUGCCAGCAGCUGCGGUAAUACGUAGGGGGCGAGCGUUAUUCGGAAUUACUGGGUGUAAAGGGUAUGUAGGCGGCCUGACAAGUCGCGUGUCAAAGUCCAGCGCUCAACGCUGGGUUCGCACGCGAUACUGUCAGGCUUGAGGACUGGAGAGGUGAGCGGAAUUCCCGGUGUAGUGGUAAAAUACGUAGAUAUCGGGAGGAACACCAGCGGCGUAGGCGGCUCACUAGACAGUUUCUGACGCUAAGAUACGAAAGCGUGGGGAGCAAACAGGAUUAGAUACCCCUGUAGUC